rnacentral:rRNA from 1 species
CUUGCUCCCGGAUGUUAGCGGCGGACGGGUGAGUAACACGUGGGUAACCUGCCUGUAAGACUGGGAUAACUCCGGGAAACCGGAGCUAAUACCGGAUAGUUCCUUGAACCGCAUGGUUCAAGGAUGAAAGACGGUUUCGGCUGUCACUUACAGAUGGACCCGCGGCGCAUUAGCUAGUUGGUGAGGUAACGGCUCACCAAGGCGACGAUGCGUAGCCGACCUGAGAGGGUGAUCGGCCACACUGGGACUGAGACACGGCCCAGACUCCUACGGGAGGCAGCAGUAGGGAAUCUUCCGCAAUGGACGAAAGUCUGACGGAGCAACGCCGCGUGAGUGAUGAAGGUUUUCGGAUCGUAAAGCUCUGUUGUUAGGGAAGAACAAGUGCAAGAGUAACUGCUUGCACCUUGACGGUACCUAACCAGAAAGCCACGGCUAACUACGUGCCAGCAGCCGCGGUAAUACGUAGGUGGCAAGCGUUGUCCGGAAUUAUUGGGCGUAAAGGGCUCGCAGGCGGUUUCUUAAGUCUGAUGUGAAAGCCCCCGGCUCAACCGGGGAGGGUCAUUGGAAACUGGGAAACUUGAGUGCAGAAGAGGAGAGUGGAAUUCCACGUGUAGCGGUGAAAUGCGUAGAGAUGUGGAGGAACACCAGUGGCGAAGGCGACUCUCUGGUCUGUAACUGACGCUGAGGAGCGAAAGCGUGGGGAGCGAACAGGAUUAGAUACCCUGGUAGUCCACGCCGUAAACGAUGAGUGCUAAGUGUUAGGGGGUUUCCGCCCCUUAGUGCUGCAGCUAACGCAUUAAGCACUCCGCCUGGGGAGUACGGUCGCAAGACUGAAACUCAAAGGAAUUGACGGGGGCCCGCACAAGCGGUGGAGCAUGUGGUUUAAUUCGAAGCAACGCGAAGAACCUUACCAGGUCUUGACAUCCUCUGACAACCCUAGAGAUAGGGCUUUCCCUUCGGGGACAGAGUGACAGGUGGUGCAUGGUUGUCGUCAGCUCGUGUCGUGAGAUGUUGGGUUAAGUCCCGCAACGAGCGCAACCCUUGAUCUUAGUUGCCAGCAUUCAGUUGGGCACUCUAAGGUGACUGCCGGUGACAAACCGGAGGAAGGUGGGGAUGACGUCAAAUCAUCAUGCCCCUUAUGACCUGGGCUACACACGUGCUACAAUGGACAGAACAAAGGGCUGCGAGACCGCAAGGUUUAGCCAAUCCCACAAAUCUGUUCUCAGUUCGGAUCGCAGUCUGCAA